rnacentral:lncRNA from 1 species
AGGGCUGAGCCCGAGGGGAGCAGAACCGGGGGCACAGACAUGGGCACGGCCCCCAGGGACAGCGCUGUGCCCAGCACCGACCUGCAGCCCUGCAGCCCAUCCGCCCCCGGCGUUGAGCAACAAGGCAAACAGAGAGCGAGGGAAGAUCAGCAUCAUGGUUUUAUUUGUCAUGAUCCCACUGUCCAACUCAUUGACUAGUCGCAAGUGACCCACAAAAAAAAAAAAAUAAUAAUAAUAAUAAAUGGACUGAAGAUUUACCCAAACUUGGUUUUUCUUUUUUUUUUUCUUUUUUUUUUUUCUUUUUAGUCCAACAUAAAUGAGGAAGGAAAAAAAAAAUACUUCCGACAUUUCCAAAAAACAGAAAUAAUAGCAAAGUAUAUUAAUAUACAUUCAACAUAUACUGCGCGUAUUGAUUACUACAAUACAAAGCAAUGGUAAAAAACCAAACGAACGAGAAAAAAAAAAAAAAACAACAACAAAACCCAAGUGUGAUCCUGCGAAAUGGCACGGGCAUAGCGAGUCCCUGCUGCGCUGGGUGCUUACUGAAGGGUCAACUCUCCCAGAAAUACAGUGUCAUGUAAACGAAAGGAAAACAACCAAAGGGACAGAGCCAAAGGCUUCCAGCAGCUCGGGGCCUUUCCUCCUCUCCGUGCUGCAGACCCAGCGGGCGUUGCUGUGUUAUUUUCCUGGGGACCAGGGGCUGGGGGGGGUGGGAAGAGGCAUCGGUAGCGAGAGCGAAUUCACCUCUGCCGUGCUGGUUUCACACUUCCUUCUGUGCAAAUUCAGGAGGGCCGGGUCGAUUCUUUUUUAUUAUUAUUAUUAUUUUUUUUUUAAUAUAUAUAUAUAUAUCAUUUUUAAAUAUUCCAAAAGUGUCAUUAAGAAGAAUUUCAGUUGUAGGUUGAAAGUCCCAAAAGGCAACGAUGACACCGAGUGCUCCCCGGCUGCCGGGGGCUUUGCUUUCUCUCAGCCAAGGAAAGAAUGAAAAGAAGAACAAAGAAGAGAUCUAUGCACGCCUGGACUGCAUAAAGGAGAACACCACUCGCCACUGGCACGAGAGAGAAAACCAGUCACAAUUACAAUGUCAUUAAAAGAAAUAAAAUACUUUGAACAGAAGGUGCA